UNUUUACUCAGAUGCUGGCCCAGGUUAGU
rnacentral:piRNA from 1 species